ACUGGCAUCCUCGGUGAGUACCGGAUAACUUGAAACAAUACUUGUCCAUCCCUAGUAAAAAACAUUUUUUAAAAAGUGCUCUUUUGGUGAAUAAAAAGCCAGAAAGCAGCUAAAGCGUGGACCAUUUAAUGUUUCAUAUAUUUAAGAAGGCCGAGUCACAGUCGACGGUGGAGCAACAAUCGUGAUCAACAGAACAAAAAAAGUGCCAAAGUUAAGUCAUUAUUCAUCAAAACAAAUUAAGAACAAACAAACCAUUCAAUCGAUGUAGAAAAAAAAAGAAGCUGAAGAGGUGAUGGAUAAAGACGGUGCUGAAUGUCUUCAUCAGUCUAAAAUGGUUAAACA